rnacentral:lncRNA from 1 species
UGGCACAUUGGUAUGUAUGAUAUGUUAUGUUAAGAGAAAGACCGGUUGUACCCAUUCUACGUCCCGGCACUUUGGAAUGUAGAGGACUAUAGGUGACAAUACCAUCCGAGAUGUGAUUUGUUGUGAUGUGUUGCAUUACAUGAUGGCAUGAGAUUUUAAAUGUUGUUUUCUAUUAUUCUGCUCACUGGGCUCUAGUAGCUCACCCUUUUUCCCUAAUCCCCCAGGAUUGCAGGUACGGGCUAG